CUUUUCACUAUUAAUUUUUUUUAAAUGGCCGUUUGUACAAUUGAGGAGCAGCAUCAAUACAAUGCUCGGUUGUUUAUCUCCAAACUCCUCGGCCAUUGACAGUUGAAAAGAGAUGCCACGUAAAAAAGAAGAUAUUGUAUUGUACUAAAAAAUAAACACUAGUUUCUUCGUACUAAAUAUCAAAAAAACGAUCAUUUUUACUGCAUUUUAUCGUAUAAGUAUAAUUUUAUUAAAAUUUUCUAUUGUCCUGAAUAAAAUUUCUCUUACAACUAUUCCAUCUCCCAUCGUAAGAAGGUAAAGAUUGAACGCUUUUCAAAUUAUUGCAAAGUAAUAUUUAUUGUAAAUAAAAAGUUAUUUAAAUCGUUCAAAGUAAGUACAAGAGAUUUUAGCUGAUCAUGAGAUUUGCUUUAGACUUUUGUUUUAACAGAUAAGUUCAUAUAUUCUUUUUAUGAGUACGUUUACAUAAUGCACAACAAAAUAAAAUAUUAAAUAUAAGAAAGAAGCACGGAAAUUCAAAGCAUUCGCAUGGGCCGCUUCGAUAUCAAAGUUUUAUCUGUCCAGCAAAAGGAGAAAAUUUUUAUGUAAAUCAGCCUUAAGAUUUCAUUAUUGUCUUCAAUAAAAUGCAACAAUGGGAUAUGCGUAAAUGAAGACCGGCAUUGGGGAUAGGUAUGAAUUGGUGGGUGUUUAAGUAUUCAAUAUAUGUAAGUGAAGGAGGUAAAGUCAUCCUUGAUAAAGUAUCAAACCAUUAAAAGAUUUAAGGUAGGCGAAGUAAUUUCCGUUAAAGCUCGACAAGGUAAAUCUGAAUAUAUGUACCUCUCUUAUUACAACUAUGAUGAGCCACUUGAUUAUGCGGAGGAGGAGUAUGAUACCAUAUUGGAGGAGAAUCUAUCAAUUAAUUCGUGGACAAACCUUUGUGAAAGCUGCAUUAUACCAUCCACUAUGCAAAUUAUUUGGUACAUGGCAGUUUUAAUUGGUUUUAGUCUCUUAUGUCGCAUGGGAUUUGUAUUUUGCUAUCACUUUCCAAACAAGAAAGAGUGGCUUCUGCAUCUAAUUUCUACCUCAGCGGGUUGCGGUAUGUUAAUUGUAGCUGUGGGCACUAAUUCGUUUUUAAUUAUAUUUUUUGCGAUUAUUUCGUAUUCGAUUUUUCAUUUAGUAAAUUUGUUUUCACCUUUUAGAAAGAAUAUUGGUGUCAUAAUGGUAAUAUGUACAAUUUUGACACAGCUUUGUUUCGAGCAAAUAUGGAAACGCCAAAUAGCUUGGCAAAUGAUUAAGGGAUCCAUCAUGGUUGUGAAUAUGAAGAUUAUUUCUAUAGCUUUCGAAAUGGAGCAAACAGUAUUGAAAAGUCAGCGCGGGAUAAUUGUUCCUAAUGUAUUUUCCUUUUUUGGUUAUAUUUUCACACCUGCAAAUUUAAUAGUUGGACCAUGGGUUCCAUACAGUUCUUAUUUGUAUAGCAUGCGCUUGAAUCCAACACAGAAAUUUCGUAUGCGCAGAGUAAUGUGGUGCGGUUUUUGCUGUUUGCUUUCGCUUGGAUUUAUAAAUUUGUCUAAUUGCAUUGUACCAUAUUUGAUUUCAGAUCCUCGAUUAAUUUGGGUACGCAUUUUUCGUGAUGCAUUGGCAGUUCGUUGUAGCCAUUACUUCGUUAGUUUUUUGUCGCAAGCUUCAAUUAGCGCUGGUGGUCUUUGUCUUGACAAGGACGAUAAACCAAAUAAGUGGUUGGGUUACAUGAUUACACAGCCUGUAUACAUCGAAUUCCCUAGGUCGCUGAGUUCAGUUGUUCGAGCAUGGAACAUACCAAUGCAUAAAUUUCUAAAAGAAUUUAUAUUUCGGGGAAUUUAUAAACGUUUUAAAAGUCAUUUUGUUGCAAUUUUUGUAACUUAUCUAGUUUCGUCACUUUUGCAUGGCCAAUAUUUAAAAAUAUAUUUGGCGCUAUUUUCAUUGGCAAUAUUUGGUUUUGUUGAAAGUCAACUACGAAAAAAGAUUUCUAACGUUUUUAAUGCGUGUGUUACUGCAGAGCCCUGCCGAAAGCCAUGUCGUUUUAAGUACUGUCCCAGUCAGGGUUGGCGAAGCGAUUGUGCGAUAUUGGUAAAACUGACGAAUCUUUUAUUUUCAAUGGUGACCAUUUUCCAUUUAGCAUACAUAGGUGCAAUGAUGGAAUCUAUAGCUGACGAAGACAAUGAUAUUGCCGACAAUUUAAAUGUAUGGUCGACAGUUAAUUUUAUUAAUCAUUGGAUAGUAUUGCUUACAUACGCGCUUUAUUUAGUUAUUUAACUAACCAAUAGUUUUAGUAUUACAUGUAAGAUGCUAAAGUGAAUUAAUUUAUAGUUUUCGAAAUAAAUUUGUAUAAAAGCGUGUAAUUCUAUGAAUUCAAAGUCAUGAUUAUUUAUUAAGUAAGCCUUAACUUUCACUAUUAUAUAAUACAAAAUAUCGAAAUAAUAACACCGCUAUAGGUACCUAAUUUCGUUAUUCAAUUCUGUUGUUGUUAUGUGAACGUACACGACAGCAUGGAUGAAUUAGGGAAAAUGAGAGAGUCUCGCAUCAUGUCAUCCUUGACAACAGCUCCAAGCAACCGUCCCCAUUUUUUAAGAGAGAAGCACUGAAAGCAAAGCGUGCGUUGUGUUUGUUUUCUGCGCUUCGUUGUUUCAAUGUGAACUGUCACGCAAAGCCAGGAGAGUUAAGAAUGAUAGAAAUACAGUAUAUAUAUAUACCAUAUAUAGUAUUCUAUCAUUAUUGCAGGAAAGUUAUAUGUGAAUGGGCCUUUAUUCUGACAUAGCCUUUGCUUUCUUCGCUUUAUUGUCAAAGUUUGAAUUGACAACUUCUGUGGCAAUAGUUAUUGUCAUACAAUUUUCGGCAAUGUAUUUAGGCCAUUUUUUUAUUUGGGUUACAUGAUCGGUUUGAAGCGUUUAGAAAUUUACUGGAGAUGAAAAAUGGAAACCGUAUAAUAAGAGAAAACACAAUUUUGAACUUUUUGUAUCAAUCUACUGCUGUAUAUUUAAUUGCCGGAUAAAAACCUCUUUGAAAGUAAUUUCUUGAACAAAUUUUAUUUUGGCAAUAUUGUUUUCCAGAUGACGAUGACAGCAUUUUGUAUAACUGAUAGUCAUAAAAGAAACUAUGGUAAUGCACAGUAAACACAUUCUAUUUAAUCCUUUAACUGUGUUAAUUGCCUUGGAUUUAAUUUCACAUAUGAGAGUAGUGAGUGCAAUCCAUGCACGCAGUGAAAAAGAAAUGCAAACCACAGCUGUUCAAUCGGUUGUGCCUAUUACUUCUCCAUCCUCUUUAACUGGUUCAGCAGCAGUAUCUUCAGAUUUCAACCCACUUGGACCUAUGGUUAUGUGUUCGUUUUUGCCGCGUGAUUUUUUGGAGUGCAAAGAUCCAAUUGACCAUGAUAACAAUAAUACAGCCAAGGCAGUAAAAGGUUACGGAUGUUUACGUUUCGGAGGAUCGACAUAUGAAGAAGUGGAGCAUACUGAAGUUCUGUGUACAGUAUUUUCAGAUAUUGAUUGUUAUGGACCACGAACAUUUUUACGGGAUGGUGUGCCUUGUGUACGCUACACAGAUCAUUAUUUUGUAACAACACUCAUAUAUUGUAUCCUAUUAGGGUUCUUAGGUAUGGAUAGAUUUUGUUUAGGUCAAACUGGCACAGCCGUAGGAAAGUUAUUGACACUUGGUGGUGUUGGAGUAUGGUGGGUUAUUGACGUUAUCCUACUUAUCACAAACAACUUGCUUCCAGAGGAUGGGAGCAAUUGGAACCCUUACAUCUAAAAUAAGAAGUACAUAUUUCCGAAAUAUAUGUGAUAUUAUAAUGCAACAAAAUGUUAAAUGAAAUCAUACUUUCUUGUUAGUGAUAUUUUUCAUUAGUCCACCUAAAUUAGAAAUGUAUUAUUCUAUAAUUACUGUUGUUGUAGCGGCAGAAUUCUGCCGAGUUGGCAGUCCUUGGCCGGAUAAAUAGUCCGGUUUCGUUCCAAUUACAUAGAGCCGAUUGUCGUGGCAACAUUACUCAAUACCAAUAAUAAUAAAAGUUCAUUUGAUUUGUUUCAUCCAUUAUAUACAAUAGUUGCAAUAACGCAAUAUUAUAUUCUUUAAAA